UACGUAGGAUGCAAGCGUUAUCCGGAUUUAUUGGGCGUAAAGCGCGCGCAGGCGGUCACGGGCAGUGACGCGUGGAAUCUCCCGGCUCACCUGGGAGGGGCCGCGUCAUACGACGUGACUUGAGGCAGGUAGAGGAUCGCAGAACGGGCGGAGUAGGGGUGAAAUCCGUAGAGACCGUCCGGAAUACCAGUGGCGAAGGCGGCGAUCUGGACCUGUCCUGACGCUCGGGCGCGAAAGCGUGGGUAGCGAACGGA
rnacentral:rRNA from 1 species